CUUGAGCAGUGAGUAUGGUUCUCCUGCAGCUCCCUUCUGACACAUGAUUACGGUUGGUGAUUAUCUUUUCCUGUUGUGCCUCCUUACAGACUGAGUGUCUGACACAUGUACAGAGCCCACAAGCUGCCAUGAGCUAUUUCUACAUGUAACUAGGUGACUACGCCUUGCAGCUUCCCCUACGUUAUAGGCUUUUUAACUUCAUUAUGUGAUCAGGCAUGUUGCCAACUUUGAAGGCCAUUCCACACAUCUGAGUGAUCUGGCUUGCCGUCCAGGUGAUUUAAGUGCCAAUCUUGAUAAAGGUCCGCAUAAGGACCGAAACGUCGAUGAAAUACGGCAUCAACAGUGAACCUGAAUAAAAAUAUACUGAAUUUACAAGUGACUUCAGAGACUAAUUUCUGGGCGUGAGUGCACCUUCCACCUAGGUGGUUGUUGUGGUAUAUUGGUGGCCUCUCAGGUCAUUAGGAGCACCCGCCGUCGUUAUUACUUUUGAUGAGAGUGCAGGAUCUUCCAAGACUACAUUUGUUCGAACUACUAUACGCAGUUCCUACUUCCUGACACCCAUCCAACAUACCGGAUUGGACUUCCUCACCGAUCACCACCUUUAUUUCCGGGAACCUUACAUGUUUUGUUUGUCAUGUUUAGUAUGUUAUUAAUCUAAUUGCUAUACCUGUUUGAGUUUUCCAGUCUAAAGAGUGUUAUGACUCAGAGCGGGGUAUAUUUGUUGGACGAUGGCCUACUGGCCAAAGCUGAAACUGGUAUAGUUUCAUUUACGGAUGAGGACACUGAAAAAUUACUAUUCGAUAAAUUAGAGUUUGAGGCCUUACCAGCCGAAACCCCUGUGGAUUUGUUUUACAAAGUGCUUAAACACAGACAAAAAGAGGUUGAUUUGACUUUACAUGGUCAAUUUUUGUCGGAAUACCUCAGGAGAAAACAAAUCCCCCGGGGUUUCCGUAUCUCUAACGUUCCAACAUUGGGUAGAAACAACCCUGUCUUCUGCAGCCGGUGGUGUGGAGUAUUGAACAAAUGUUCGCUUGACCUCAUGACCCUGGUAGUGGAGGAAGUUGGCAUUGAGUUAAAGAAAUUAUCUACUGAAGUGGAUAUUACCAUCAAAUCUCACACCACCGUGCUGCAGAAUGACAAAACCCAAAAUUGGAUCGAACGUCUACAGACACAGGUGGACACUUAUAAACGUGAUCUAAUUUCUUUCAAACGAAAAAAAUUGUCCACUGUAACUAACGACUACCAAACGCAUACUGUAUACCGCUGGUUACUUGGAAACAAUACUAGUGAACGUCAGAAUAGACAAUACACUAGGCGAAGGGCCCAACCG